UAUCUGAAAACAAUGGCCAAGGGAACAACAAUGUGCAACAAAGAUCUCUGGUUUGUGGUCCAUGUUGGAGUAAUGCUUCUGACGGUAGCAGCCACAAUCAUUGCUUUCAUCCUCAUUUUCGCUCAUACUCGGGACUGGUCUGGGGGAGCACAUCCAGUGUUGGGUUGUCUGGUUAUGAUCCUCUCCUUCUUCCAGCCUAUAGUGGCUAUGCUGCGCUGCGG